rnacentral:rRNA from 1 species
AACUUUCAACAACGGAUCUCUUGGUUCUCGCAUCGA